AAGGCUUUAAGUUAAAAUUAAACUAUUAGCCUUCAAAGUUAAAAAUACUUAUGAGGUAAGUCUUA
rnacentral:tRNA from 1 species